UGGUACAUCACAUUUAUCUAGAAAAAAGCACAUUACAUCACAAAUACAUGACGAGUACAUCAAGACACAUCACAGAUAAAUCAAGAUACAUAAAAACUAUAUUAAGGUACAUCACAGUCACCUAAGUCAUAACGAGUACAUCAAUGUGCAUGACGAGUACAUCGAGGAAGAUGUACUUCAUCAACAAUAAAUUACAUACACGAUAAAUACCUGCCCAAUCCUCAACGGAGAUAGACAAGAAAAGAAGAAAUAAUCUAAGUACACGCAGGUACGCACUCUGCUAAUCUUUCUGUAGAUCGAGAAUAUGUGAAAGGAAACGGGAGAAGAAACCAAGCACGCACAAGGUAGAUAUGGGAACACAAGGAGAGAGAUGGCAGGCUGUAGGCAUGCACGAACAGAGGUGGUUUCCAUGGGCGGCGGCGGAGCAAAUCUGCGAGGUAUGGGGCCAUGGGGGCGGAGGACAGCGCGGCUGAGCCGGCGGCCACCCACGGCAAGGGCGAAGCUGCUAGAGGAAGAAGAAGAGGAGGAGGAAGCACAGUGCUGCUUGAGGAAGAAGAGGAGUUUUCUGAUUUAGGAGAAGAGAGAGAGGAACGCAUGCAUCUGUUAAUUAAAGGAGAGAGAGAUUAGAAAAAGAAGAGAGAGGACACGUGGUUACGUUGGUUACAACGAUGGAUCACCUGGAGCUUUGGCAGUUGGCCGUCACCACCCCUGUGAAUCCCGUUGAGCUGUGGAGGACGAAGGUAACAUGGGUAUAAUUGAUUGCAAACCUGCAGCCCAAAUAGUCAGAGUUGAAGGUAGCAGGCGGGCGUGUAUUUGCAACUUUUCAUCGUUUCUUAUCCGUGGCGUUGGAUGUGGAUCAGCCGGUUGAGAAAGCCCCGGAUUCACAAGAUACGUCGCCCUAGAAACGAUUCAAG
rnacentral:lncRNA from 1 species